AAAAAGAGAGAGAGAGAGAGAGAGAGAGAGAGAGAGAGAGAGAGAGAUGGAGAAUUCGGUCUUUUCAUCUCUCUUCGUUUUUUCUUUUUUAUUUUGAUUUGUAAAUUAUAGGAUAGGAAAGGAGAAAAAUUCAUAUACUUUAUGAGAUAGAUUGGAGAUUUAUAGAUUACCGAAUUUUUAUUCUUGUUUUC